UCCUGGUUAACCCAGGCAGUCUCACUAGAGUUCCCAUCCGAAAUGUUGGCAACUAGUGAUAAGGGUUGCGCUCGUUGCGGGACUUAACCCAACACCUCACGGCACGAGCUGACGACAGCCAUGCAGCACCUGUGCAGAAGCCCCGAAGGGAAAUACCAUCUCUGAUAUCGUCCUCUGCAUGUCAAGCCUGGGUAAGGUUCUUCGCGUUGCAUCGAAUUAAACCACAUGCUCCACUGCUUGUGCGGGUCCCCGUCAAUUCUUUUGAGUUUCAGCCUUGCGACUGUACUCCCCAGGCGGUAUACUUAUCGCGUUAGCUACGGCACAACCGGGGUUGAGUCCAGUUACACCAAGUAUACAUCGUUUACGGCAAGGACUAC
rnacentral:misc_RNA from 1 species